rnacentral:misc_RNA from 1 species
GAAAAAUGCAUGGUCCCACACAUUCCCCAUAUCAUCCCAGUUUUGUACAAUUCCAUUGUUGACGGGAUAAGAUAAAUCCAACUGAUGGCGCAACUUCAAGCAUUCAUCUCCCACAAUAAUAUCCUUCAAGUCUUGUUCCAUAAGGGACUCUUCAUAUCUUAGCAUUGGCCUCCCCACAACACAAGGGAAUACAGAUGUGGGAAAAUUCUCACCCGCAAAGCCACACUUGACAUACCCAGUGCCGUUGUCGCAAACGACAACGUUUCGAUUAUCCAUCUUGUAGCUACUCAGCUGGAUCAAUCAUGAAUUCCACUUUUGUUAAACUUUGAGAUUUUUUUUGCUUGCGGAAUCAGCAAGGAUCGAAGCUUUUAGUUGGUAAUGGGUAUGGCCAUGGACUAGCUCCGGUUACCGGAAGUUAAAAAAACAUUUUUCGUUUGAG